GAAAUGCGAUAAUUAAUGUGAAUUGCAGAAUUCAGUGAAUCAUCGAGUCUUUGAACGCACAUUGCGCCCCCUGGUAUUCCGGGGGGCAUGCCUGUCCGAGCGUCAUUGCUGCCCUCAAGCACGGCUUGUGUGUUGGGCUUCCGUCCCUGGCAACGGGGACGGGCCCAAAAGGCAGUGGCGGCACCAUGUCUGGUCCUCGAGCGUAUGGGGCUUUGUCACCCGCUCCCGUAGGUCCAGCUGGCAGCUAGCCUCGCAACCAAUCUUUUUAACCAGGUUGACCCCGGAUCAGGUAGGGAUACCCGCUGCACUUAAGC
rnacentral:misc_RNA from 1 species